rnacentral:snoRNA from 1 species
AGACCAUGAUGUGGGCAACGCCUAAUUAGGUCCUUAUAUCUAUCCUAAGCUUCAUAUAGCAACUCACCAUCAAUAGUCUAAAUUAUUUAUCUCUCUUUUGCUUAU